CUCCUGCAGAGCUGGAACAUGUGCUUCAAUCUCAUCCGGAGAUAGUUGAUGCUGCUGUUAUACCAUACCCAGAUGAAGAAGUUGGUCAGGUGCCAAUCGCUUUUGUGGUGAGACAACCUCAAAGCAACCUUGAUGAAGCAGAAAUAAUGGAUUUUGUUGCAAAACAGGUUGCACCAUACAAGAAAAUAAGGCGUGUAACAUUUGUCAACUCCUUACCAAAGAGUGCGGCUGAAAAU